CUCAAGAAAGCAAAGCUGGGAGAGUUCUGGAUGAUCUGAACAUGUGUAACCGACAUCAAUAUUAGGUUGUCGCUCUCAGCACAUAGAAGAAUGAGACAUUUCUACUGGAUUUAAUGUAUUUUUUGAUAAUGGAGAGUGACAAGACUCAGGAAUCUUGUGCGUUUCCAAGCGCUGGAAGGGAAUAAUCUUUCCUGGGCAUGGACUCUCCUGGCCAUCCCUGCUCAACCUUGACCCUUCUGUCCCAUCCCUUUCAAUGGGUCUCUGUCCCAACCCUGUCUCUUCUCCACCCCUGGUUUCCUGAUCCUGUUGCGUUUUCCCUGCUCACCCCAAACCAGUUUAUGCUUCUCUUCUUCAUCAUAGAGUCCUUAGACCAGAAGUGGGCAAAAUACAGCCUGCGGGCCAGAUCUGGCCCACCAAAUUACUAGAUCUGGCUUGUGGCUGCCCUGCAGCACUUUACAUGGGGCCAAGUCCCACCCAUUCCCACCAGGGCAGCCUGCACCCCACUCCUGCCCACUCCUACUCAUAGCCUGCUGCACUCCCGCCUGCGUGCACAGCUUCCAGUGGAGCUGUUCCCAGUGCUGUUCUGCACCCCUCACCUCCAGCAAGAGCCACCCAGCUGAAGCUUCCCACCUGCCUGCCCAGAGCAGCACAGCAGGGGCAGCAGCAGGAGGAGGAUCUGCCACUGGAGGUUAGGCGCUGGGCCUGGGGCUGGUAGAUGUAUAGUACAGGCUGUCCUGGGUGGGGCUCAGCCCAAUGUGGAGCACCACAGGUCCAGCACCAGACUACACCGUCCAACCGAGCUUUGCUGCACUCACCCCCCCACCUUCCCCUCCCUCCCCUCGCUGCUGGGUGACUUCCAGGACCUAGCACCCAGCCAGGCCUCCCACACACACACGUACAUACACCCCCAAAACCCUCCCGCCACAGGGCAGGGUGUGAACAGUGUGGAUCAUGCCUCAGCCCAGGCCCCAGCCCAAAGCUGUUGCUACCCUGUGACCUAGUCCCAUGAUCCCAGGCUCCCCUGCCCAUCCUGCUCCUGAAUACUGCUUUCCUCCUGCCUAAACCCCCAUAGGGAGUUUUGGUGAAUUGUUGCAGGGAGGCCAGUGGUGGGGUAGGAGGGUUGUGUUGCCGACCUGGCCUGAAUCAGCUCAUCAAAAUUCCCUAUGUGGCCCUUGGGCCUAAAUAAAUUUCCUACCUCUGCCGUAAACAAAUCUCAUGUCCCUCUUGAAAAUACAAUCUCCCGUCAGACUCUCUCAUCUCUCAGUGUCUCCGCAUUGAAUCCCAGUUCCUUUGCCUAGCCAGCCCCAGUUCAACCCUCAGCUCCUCAUGCAAUUUGUCAUUCCCCUUCUGCUCUGCACUGGUCCCAAAUCUCUUUCCCUUGGUUUCUCACCCAUUCUCAGUCUCCCCCAGAAUACAACUAGUUUUACUUCUCCCUUUGUAUGUUAAGUAUUUCUUAGCUCUGUAGCUCUCAUCCAUUUAAACUGUUUCCUCCCCACUAAUCUCCUUGUGCAGCCAGUUCGUUUCGCUUGUCCUCACAGCACUUCAUUCAGUACCACAGCUUCCUGGCUCCCCUGGUCCUCCUAGCCUCUCCCUCCAAUUCCCAAUUAUAUGUUCUGUCUCUACCACUCAAAGCUCAUCAAUUGCUUGCCAAUCUAUAUUCAUUUCACCUGGUUUGGCUUUUUAUCCUUCUUGAAUUUAAAUAAGAUGGGUUAAUCCAUGGUGCCAAACAUGAAGUGCAUGUUCUUUGCAGUCUGUUUUGGGCCCCAGCCCAACCCCAACCCCAGCCCAAAGCAUGUGGAACAGCCAUUACACAGAAAGUCUAUCUUGAGCUAUGAGCUGAAGCAGGCUUAUUUGGUUUGUGAGGAUGCACCCUGUCACGGCAGGAUCCUGCAGGAGGGCCGUGAUCUCCCUGAGGUCCCUCGCACCAUGCCAAGGCCAGCCCAAGGUACCCUCUUAUUCUUGCCCGCCACGUCUUGCUGGUAAAUAGAAUAGGGAGGCUACCUUACUCCUCCUUGGGCAUGGCUACUCGGGACCUCUGUCCCCGCGGUUUUCCUGGACUCUUGUGGUCACCCCGUAUGAUGGGUGCUACUCCGGCACCCCAGCCUUAUGGGCUACGCGUGGCUCCUACCAACCCCUAAUACCACACCCCAAGCCUUGCAGAUGGGACAGACGUUGUCCGGUCAAAAUACACACCCGCUUUCUCGGGUCCUCCUCUAAUCUAGCCCGCUCUAGGGCCUUCUCCGUAUGCCUCUAUGCUAUUGCCCCAUUCUGGGCUCUCACUGGGUCCACUCUGGGCUCUCUAAUACAGUGCCCCUCACUGGGACUCUUAGUAACACCGCCCCUCUCUUGGGACUCUUGAGGCCCACUCUGGGCCUUCUCUAAUCUAGUCCACUUUGGGACGUCCUCUCGAGCCACCGGUCUUUUAGGCCCACCGCAAUGCUAACCUCUCGUUUGCCAGGCGCACUGUGCUGCUAUCCCCUUUUCCUGGGGACCACCACAGCACCGCCCUUCUCUGGGGCGCUGUGCUGCUAACCCCUUUGGUCUGAGUCCACCGCAGCACCCUGCCCCUGCCCUGGGUUUUCCAUAGUGCUAGCCUGUUACCGGGCUCACUACGCCUGUCCUGGGCUUCUCAAUCUUGCCCCCCUUGGGCCUCUCACAUAUUGCCCCCUUGGGCCUCUCAAACUUUGUCCUUCUUGGGCCUUGCAAUGGUCCCCCUUCUCUGGGACCUUCCGGGCCCCGCUGGGCUCCUUAAUAAUACCGCCCCCUGUUUGGGGCUAUCUAUGCCGACCCUGGGCUUCCUACUAAAAUCACCCCUCUCUCUGGGACUUGCUGUGCCCACACUGGGCUCUUUAAAUGCCCCUCUCUGGGCUGGGGUCUACACACCCCACAAGUUGCACCCUUACUGGCGUCAGGGUCCUCGCACUCCUGUGAGCCCCCCUAUGAAUACUGCACCCUCUUGGCGCUAGGGCCCCACCCCUCUGGGGUCCCUAUGAGGAUAAUGCGCCCUCUUGGUGCUAGGGCCCCACCCCUCUGGGGUCCCUAUGAGGCCUCCUCCAACCCCUAAUAGCCUCACCCAAACCACCGGUCUAAUAUCACAAACACAACUUCAAGCCUCCUGGCUAUAACUCAAACAGAACCCAAAGCCGCCUGGCUAUAACUUAACAUCAUUGCUUAACUCCACUCGAGCGGUACUUGCUGUUAGGCUUCUCUCUGCAUCCUAACUCCAGGAGCUCCUGCCCCUCUGGCUGCUAGUAGGCAACUCCUAGCUUGGCCUUGGCUCUAGGCUUUAUAGGGGCCAGGCCCUGCCCCCUCAGGAUCAGCUGACUCUCAUUAGUUGCCCUGGCAACCUGCAGCUGUGCUCAUUAUCUCUGCUGAGGCUUUUCCCCAGCAGUUCUCCCCUCUCUAGGAGUGGGGCAGCGAGGUGCGCUGCGACACACCCAAAUAUGUGAGCUUUAUAUUACUUAUAACAAAUAGUUGAGGAUUUAACAUGGGCUAAGCAAUGUGUUUUUCCUUCAUAUUUUUCUCAGAAUUGGUUAAACUAUUUGUCUGCAGUUCUCCAAAAAAAAUCAUUCUUAGGCAGAGACUGAGCAUGGAAACUUUGAAUCUAAAUAGUUAGUUUUCAAUUUAUAAGAAAAUUAAAAUGGAGUCUUAUAAUGGGAAGUGUUGAGCAGCCCUGCCUACAACAUAGGUUUUUGGAUUGGCCUCCUCACUUGUUUCUGCAUGCCUUCCAAUCAUGAAGUUACAUGGUUGACAUCUGUCAUAUGUGGUUCAUUCCCUCUGCUAUCCUGACGGGGCAGGCAGACCCAGCUGCGGUCCCCAUGGGGCAGUAGAGGUAGAGUGGAGAAUAACCCUCCUUCCUGCCCUCUCUGCCUUGGGGCCAUGUAGGUCUGAUGUUGCAGCAAUGAGGGGGAAGCACCCAGCAGACUCGGCUUGGGUCCCUGCCGGUGCAACAGGGAGGGACGAAUUAAAUCCCUCUCUGGUGAGUUCUGCCCAGGCUGGCCAUGCCCCCUCCCCUGCCCCAAGCACAGCUUCUCUGCAACCCAGGGUGUGCUCUAGCACCCCCUGACACCUGGCCUGAGCAACUGCAGGCAUGUGCCCAUAUUUCCUCAGUCCACAAGGAAUGCCUGUGCUGUUACAAAUUGGUUCAACCUGGGCAGGUUAGACUAACCGGCAAAGAUUGCAUCAAUUCAGGCUCCGUUUUUUUCAUGUCUGUCCCUAGCCCAUGAGUUCUGAUCCUCUUCCUGGAGCCACUGCAAGGGUUCAAACCAUUCCCUAAAGUAUUACUGCCUUUUUCAUUCUUACCUUUACUAUCAAAAGACUCAGCACUCUCUUACCCCUGAGCCAACUUACACUCACUGUUCUGUCCUCUUCCUAAAUUGGAGUGGACUGGUAGGAGCAGUAUAACCUGCUAUCAACUGGUAGCAGCAAUAAUGGCUAAGUAGACCUCCAUGCCUUCUGCAUAUUGAGGGCACCUGAAUAUACUUCAUCAUACCAGCUCUUCUUGAGAGUGAAUACAAAUGUUGAAUAAAAGUAAAAAGGGAACUGAUCCUUGUGGGACUCUGAAAGUUUCAUGGCAAGAGUUGAACAUCUGUCUCCAGCAAGGACUGAAAAUAUUUAAACAUGUUACCUUUGAAUGCUUCCACUUCUCUUAUGGGUCAACAACAGUUUAGAUGACCUGUGAAAGUCCUAGGAAGGUAAAAUGAGAAAAUGAGUUUUUAGUGUCUAUGACAUUGUCCAAAUGAGUGCUGACAUCUCCUAGCAUGACCAGCCUGUGGUACUCCACUACUGUUGCCAGCAAAGUAUCAGUGAUUUCUAUGAUCACUCGUUUAGUCCUUGGCAGCCUGUGAGUAAGUGUUGCAGCGCACUAAAGUGCCCUGCUCCUAGAAGAGCAGGAACUGCCUGGGGAGAGCAGCUAAGGAGAAAAUUAGUCUGCACCUGCACCUGGCCAGAAGGGGCAGGGCCCUGUGCCCAUAUAAACCCCAGGAUGGGGAGUAGGCAGUCCAGUUCUCCACCAACGGCCAAGGGGGAAGGAGCCCUCAUGGAGUAAGUGAAGGGAAGAAGCCUAAGUUCUGCUCCCAGUAUCAGAAAGGGGCAACGCACACCUUCUACAGUUGGUGUUAUGUUAUAGCUCAGGGGAUUAUGUUUGGUUGUAGUUUUAUAACACUGGUGGUUUGGGCAAGGCUAUUUGGAGAAGGAGGAGGCCUCAUUGGGGGCCCACUGCAGUGUGGGGACCCCAGUGCCAGAGAGGGCGCAGCACGAGGGGCUGCAGAGAGCCCAGGCACCAGUGAGGCACAGCAACAGGGCUGCAGGGAGCCCAGAGAGAAGACAAAGGGGUCAAUCACAGCAAGGCCUAGACAGGACGUCGGUGCCAUCUGCGAGGCUUGGGGCAUAGUAAAGGGGCGGUUGGAGCCACGCAUAUAGCUCAUAAGGCUAGGGUGCCCCCAAAACACCCAUUGUGAAACGGGACCUACAAGGGGUCUGGGAACCCACAGGGUUCAGAGAGUCCAUCAAACAGUGUCCAAGAGGACUUAAAGGCAGCUUGCCUAUUUUUAUACUUCCAUCAAAGACGUGGUGGGCAAGAAUUGAGGGUGCCCAUUGAGCCAAAUUGGCAGGGUUGAGGGGCCUUAGGAGAUCACGGCCAUCCUUGAGGACCCCAUCCUGUGACAGUAAGCAUACAAUCUAAGUUAGUUUUGGCUCUGGUUUCUAUUAUUGGUGAAUGAACUUUACUUAUAUGACUUAUUGUUGGAUCUGAUAUUCAAAGAGAAGAAUAUUGUCCUUCAUUACAUAGUGCUGAAUACAAACAGCUUGUCCAAAAAAUAAAAUAAAAUCAGAAGCAACAAUGUUCUGUAAAAAUUUCUGUGAUAUCUGGUGACUGAGCAGAAAUUACAUUCUGGCAGUCUUAAAUCUAGUUUCAUGGCUGAAGGACACUUCAAAACCAUAUUGAUUCAUGUCCUAAAUAAUAAACCUUAGAUACAAAUACUGGUUAACAAUCUGACUGAUAUGCCUUCACCUGAUAAAAAUCUUGUGAUUAAUUUAAAGCGAAAUAAUUGUUUGAUGAAGAAAUUGGGAAAGCGAUAAAAGUGAACUGAUAGUGCAUAAUGUAUCCACUGAUAAUGUUGAAAGUGUUCUACAUUUAAUUGAUGGUAAUAAUUUCCUCUCUCUGCUCACAUUCUGUAAAUAUUCUAGAAAAAUUUUUGCAAUUCUCCCAAAAAGCUAACUUUCAGAUAAAAUUUCUGAAUAAAAUAGUAUUUCCUUCAGGAAUGAGAAAUAUGACAGUAUUUACUUUUUUUCCAUCUCGGUGUUUAAGUGGGUUUAGAAUUAAACAAAACAAGCUUGUUUAUGUCUAAUUUAGUACAUUAUAAUAAAAAUAGAUAGUUAACUGAUGGUUCUUUUAUCUUUCUACUUUUCUGGAGAGUGUGCUUAGUAGUUUGGCAAUGUUAAAUCCUGUACAAAUGCACACAAUUCAUAAUUUAACAGAUUUGAAAUCUCAGUAUGUUUUCAGUUCAUUUCACUCUCUCAAAGAUGUUUGCUUAUUGGGAUUUAUACAAAAGAAUAAGACUAUCCAUGCACGGCCCUAGGCACCUUACUAACUGCAGUGCAAGUAUUAUAGUGAUUGUCAGUCAACGACAAUUUCAGCUCCAUUAAGUCUCUCUGCUCUGGCUUUGCCAAGCAACAAAUAAGCAUAGACAAAUCCCUCAGAGCCAUUCCAACUACAUAAUUCCUAAUGCCCCCAGUCUCCAAAAUUUAAGGAGAUAAAAUGGGCUGUAUAGAAGAUAAAAAGAAUUGAUCAAUCUGAACCUGAGGUGAGAGGCAUGGGGUAAUUUCCAAUGGAAGAGUAUUGCUGAGAAAUUACUUUCGAAGUAUGCUAUGGAGCCUCAAACAUGAGCAAGGCUCUUGCAUUUUUCCUGGACCAUCAUGACUAUAACAUCAUCCCGAAAACAUGGGACAUUGUAACGGGGCCAUGACUUCAUGGCCUAUUGUAAAUUACCUAAUCCCUGUUAAUCUCUGCACUCCACAGGGAAUAAUGACUCUCUUGAAUGGUCUUCCUCCUCGGUUUAUCAGGUUAUCCUUUUUACUGCAUUUCUCUUGUUUCUAAGAUACCUGAUAAUCUCUCUUGUAUCCUGAUUUUAUUUAAGUAUGGAAUUCUGUACAAUCCCCCCCUUUUUAAAAACAAAACAAAACAAAACAAAAUAGUACCUGAAAGCUUGCUUAUGUCCUUCCUAGCUAUACCAGUUGGUCCAGUAAAAGAUGCGAUCCACAAGAAUCUUCAUCUCAUGCAUUUUUCCCGGAUCAUCACAGGUGACCUAAACACUACAACCAAGACACUGGAAGCCACAUGUGACUGAGGCCAGAAGAUUUUGUAGUCCCAUCUGUAGUCACAGGCAGAGAGUAGCCAAUGGAUGGACUUUGACCAAAACCUGGAAGCUUCUGGAGCCUUCUUCACCAGUCAACUUUUUGCAUAUGUUCAUCUUGGAUUCUGUUACCAAUUACGUGUUGUUUUUCACAUUCCAGUCUGUUUCUCUGUCUUAGGUUGUACCAUCUUCCAUACUUGUUUUGGGCCUUAGGUUGUACCAUCUUCCACGCUUUUUGGGGGGCCUCUCUAUCUUAUCUCGUUCCUUACUGUAGCUGGGUCACAGAUUCACUUGCUGCUUUUCUCUCAGAAAAUGGGAGACACAGUUAAGACGGUUACUUAGCAUAAGCAAAUAGCUGGCUUAACUAUCAUCCUGCCUUGUAGUCAGCAGCUCUGCUAGGCCACAGGUUAAAUCCUUUGUAUUCAACUGCAGAUCCAGUGCUUCUUAAUAAUCCAAAUUAUUGUCACCCUAACAGUAAACAUAACGUAGCAGGCUAUAAUGCUGGUGCAGCCAGAAAUUAGUGAAUACAUUCACACCUCUGAGAUCCUAAUUCAGCACCUUCUACAAGGAAUGAAUUAAAACAGAAUACACUUUCCUUAGUCUGUAUAGCAGUGUGAGAUCUCAAAUAACAUUGCCCCUUGGGCUGUUUGUUCUUAGUACCUUAGGAUGUUAUUUUAUUGUUAAAGGCUUAUCAUCAUUCAGUCUUAAAUACCUUGGUGACAAGCACUUAAUCUGAAAUAUGAAGAGAAAUGAACCAAAAUGAUACUUUCAGUUUUAGAGACAAUGCUUAAAGUUCUCAAAAAUUCCACAAUAUUUUUAUUUAAACAACUACAGCCCUCAUUUUAUUUCUUCAAGUGUCUAGGAAAAGAGAAACAAAUUAAGCUAUAUGCUUAAGUUUACAUAUUUUAUCAACCCUGUUAAUAUUUAGCAUUUUAAUAAAAGAAAGACUUAAAAUA